rnacentral:pre_miRNA from 1 species
CGUGCAAUUGCUGGGUAUAUGGUAAGACUAUGUUUAGCUUUGUAAGAAAUUGUCUUCCAAAGUGGUUGAAUCAUUUUUCUUUCCCACGAGCAAU